AACCUUUACUAUAGCUUGACACUGAACCUUGAGCCUUGAUGUGUAGGAUAGGUGGGAGGCUUUGAAGCGUGGACGCCAGUCUGCGUGGAGCCAACCUUGAAAUACCACCCUUUAAUGUUUGAUGUUCUAACGUGGACCCGUAAUCCGGGUUGCGGACAGUGUCUGGUGGGUAGUUUGACUGGGGCGGUCUCCUCCCAAAGCGUAACGGAGGAGCACGAAGGUUAGCUAAUCCUGGUCGGACAUCAGGAGGUUAGUGCAAAGGCAUAAGCUAGCUUGACUGCGAGAGUGACAGCUCGAGCAGGUGCGAAAGCAGGUCUUAGUGAUCCGGUGGUUCUGAAUGGAAGGGCCAUCGCUCAACGGAUAAAAGGUACUCCGGGGAUAACAGGCUGAUACCGCCCAAGAGUUCAUAUCGACGGCGGUGUUUGGCACCUCGAUGUCGGCUCAUCACAUCCUGGGGCUGAAGUAGGUCCCAAGGGUAUGGCUGUUCGCCAUUUAAAGUGGUACGCGAGCUGGGUUUAGAACGUCGUGAGACAGUUCGGUCCCUAUCUGCCGUGGGCGUUGGAAGAUUGAGAGGGGUUGCUCCUAGUACGAGAGGACCGGAGUGAACGCACCACUGGUGUACGGGUUGUGAUGCCAAUUGCAUUGCCCGGUAGCUAAGUGCGGAAGAGAUAACCGCUGAAAGCAUCUAAGCGGGAAACUUGCCUCGAGAUGAGUCUUCCCUGGACACUUGAUGUCCCUGAAGGGCCGUUGAAGACGACGACGUAGAUAGGCUGGGUGUGUAAGCGUAGCGAUACGUUGAGCUAACCAGUACUAAUGACCCGAGAGGCUUAACCUUACAACACCGAAGGUGUUU
rnacentral:rRNA from 2 species